rnacentral:rRNA from 1 species
CAUGCCUAACACAUGCAAGUCGAACGGAAACGAUGCUAGCUUGCUAGCAGGCGUCGAGUGGCGGACGGGUGAGUAAUGUAUAGGGAUCUGCCUAGUAGUGGGGGACAACAUGUGGAAACGCAUGCUAAUACCGCAUACGCUCUACGGAGGAAAGUGGGGGACCUUUCGGGGCCUCAUGCUACUAGAUGAACCUAUAUUGGAUUAGCUUGUUGGUAAGGUAAUGGCUUACCAAGGCGACGAUCCAUAGCUGGUUUGAGAGAAUGAUCAGCCACACUGGGACUGAGACACGGCCCAGACUCCUACGGGAGGCAGCAGUGGGGAAUAUUGCACAAUGGACGAAAGUCUGAUGCAGCAAUGCCGCGUGUGUGAAGAAGGCCUUAGGGUUGUAAAGCACUUUCAGACGUGAGGAAAAGUAAUAAUUUAAUAAAUUAUUACCUUGACGUUAACGUCAGAAGAAGGACCGGCUAACUCCGUGCCAGCAGCCGCGGUAAUACGGAGGGUCCAAGCGUUAAUCAGAAUUACUGGGCGUAAAGCGCGCGUAGGCGGAUAUUUAAGUCAGAUGUGAAAUCCCUGGGCUCAACCUAGGAACUGCAUUUGAUACUGGAUAUCUAGAGUAUGGUAGAGGUGAGUGGAAUUUCAGGUGUAGGCGGUGAAAUGCGUAGAGAUCUGAAGGAACAUCAGUGGCGAAGGCGACUCACUGGGCCAUUACUGACGCUGAGGUGCGAAAGCGUGGGUAGCAAACAGGAUUGGAUACCCUGGUAGUCCACGCCCUAAACGAUGUCAACUAGGUGUAUGGGAGUUUAACUCCUGUGUAUCGAAGCUAACGCGAUAAGUUGACCGCCUGGGGAGUACGGUCGCAAGACUAAAACUCAAAUGAAUUGACGGGGGCCCGCACAAGCGGUGGAGCAUGUGGUUUAAUUCGAUGCAACGCGAAGAACCUUACCUGGUCUUGACAUGUAGCGAAGGUUUUAGAGAUAGAACUGUGCCUUCGGGAACGCUAACACAGGUGCUGCAUGGCUGUCGUCAGCUCGUGUCGUGAGAUGU